UCCAGUUAUCCCUACUUUUGGGCGCUCUGUAAUGACGUAAGACUUUGUAUAAAUAGAAUCCAAUCGCUUCGUCAUAUCCUCUUGGAAUUGGUGCCAUCUUGUGAAGACACAGCACCACGACAUGAGGGCGAAGUGGCGAAAGAAGCGUAUGCGCAGGCUGAAGCGCAAGAGGCGAAAGAUGAGGCAGAGGUCAAAGUAGACUGCCCCCCCUCUCGGCUGCAGCUGCAACCUGCCCCGAGCACAGCCGGAGUUCCCAGAGGGCCUGAAACAGACCCCAAACCGCUGCACCAGCCUCUAAUCCUACUACUCCACUGUGGCCAGGGGAGGCCCACCUGAGCCUGCUGUCCCCUGAGAGGCUGAAGUGUUGCCUGAGGCUGUUUCUUUGGGCUGCUCUGGACUCUGGUUACCCACCCACCCUCAAACUGCAGUUGCUUUGUAUAAACUACCCCAAUAAACUUGUUUUUUAACCUCA